rnacentral:rRNA from 1 species
CCUACGGGCGGCAGCAGUGGGGAAUAUUGGACAAUGGGCGAAAGCCUGAUCCAGCCAUGCCGCGUGUGUGAAGAAGGCCUUCGGGUUGUAAAGCACUUUCAGUGGGGAAGAAAGCCUUGGGGCUAAUACCCUCGAGGAAGGACAUCACCCACAGAAGAAGCACCGGCUAACUCCGUGCCAGCAGCCGCGGUAAUACGGAGGGUGCGAGCGUUAAUCGGAAUUACUGGGCGUAAAGCGCGCGUAGGCGGUCUGAUAAGCCGGUUGUGAAAGCCCCGGGCUCAACCUGGGAACGGCAUCCGGAACUGUCAGGCUAGAGUGCAGGAGAGGAAGGUAGAAUUCCCGGUGUAGCGGUGAAAUGCGUAGAGAUCGGGAGGAAUACCAGUGGCGAAGGCGGCCUUCUGGACUGACACUGACGCUGAGGUGCGAAAGCGUGGGUAGCAAACAGGAUUCGAUACCCUGGUAGUC